AAAUCACCGCAGCUCACUUCCCGUUGAGUUGGGACUCCAUUUUUCAGAUCCCAUGGAUCCCACGGACAGCGCUGCCCUCGAUCAGACCCAAAAUUCACCUCAGGAGGCCAAAAGUUUGAGGAGAUGAAUGGUCUGGGUUGAUUGCCUCUCCUACUCACCCAGGCUGCGACCUCACUGCUGUGCAUCGUUUCCAGCUCAGCACUUGAGAACAGAGCCCAGCUGAAACCAGCGCACCCCAGUAUGGGUGCUCCAUGUCUCAACCAAUGGCUCCCAGCCUGCUGAAAAUAAAGGACAGCCCCAUGGACAUCCCUGCAGCCCUGCUGGGAACCAUCCCAGGAGGUCAGCCCAAGCUUCGUGCUGGGCUUUGUGCACCCAGCUCACAACAAAUGUGGUCCCAGCCGGGUGUCCUCAAUCCUGCUGUGACACAUUUAGGUGACUUUUAGCACCUUCCUCCAGUAUCGUCCAUCAUUCUGCUCCUGGUGGGACCCACAUUUGGCAAACAAGCUCACAGCCGCCUCUUGCCCUAUGCCAUGUGUAAGGAAGUUGCAAUAAUUUCACUGUGGACAGAUGUGGAUGACCUUCCCAAUGGGAGGCUGGGUUGGAGAAGGAUCUGGGUUAUUCUUCUUCUUCAGUGAGAAGAUAGGAGCUGGAGAAGGCCAUGAUUAUAGAAGGAGAGGGACCCGAUGAGGAUGCUCACCUUGCACGUGUCUCUAUUCACAGGGCACUGGGUCACCCUGCCCUCAGCACAGGGACCUUCCUCCAUCCUUGCUGUGUACCCAGAACAGAGCGUUUUUUGGCCUUGUCAGCUCAUUCAUCUAUUGGUGAUGGCUUCCAUCAGGCCACUCCGAUUGACGCUUUAGCCAAGUCUUUACAGGAUUAUACACAUACAUUGUGACAGCCAGGAAGCUGAACCAAACCAGAGGAAAGGCUAAGCAGAAGGCAAAUGAGGAAUUAAGAGCUGGUCCUUGAGUCUGAGGGUGAUAUUUCAAUGCUGUUACCUACUUUGCAAUGAAAAUGUGUUUUAAUCAGUUUGUCUCUAUGGCCUGUAAAUUAAAAUGCAUGGUAAU
ensembl:lncRNA